rnacentral:rRNA from 1 species
UACGAAGGGUGCAAGCGUUAAUCGGAAUUACUGGGCGUAAAGGGUGCGUAGGCGGUUGUUUAAGUCUGUCGUGAAAUCCCCGGGCUCAACCUGGGAAUGGCGAUGGAAACUGGGCAGCUAGAGUGUGUCAGAGGAUGGUGGAAUUCCCGGUGUAGCGGUGAAAUGCGUAGAUAUCAGGAGGAACACCUGCGGUGUAGACGGCUUACUGGACGGUAACUGACGCUGAGGCACGAAAGCGUGGGUAGCAAACAGG